GAUGAACGCUGGCGGCGUGCCUAAUACAUGCCAGUCGAGCGAACGGACGAGAAGCUUGCUUCUCUGAUGUUAGCGGCGGACGGGUGAGUAACACGUGGAUAACCUACCUAUAAGACUGGGAUAACUUCGGGAAACCGUAGCUAAUACCGGAUAAUAUUUUGAACCGCAUGGUUCAAAAGUGAAAGACGGUCUUGCUGUCACUUAUAGAUGGAUCCGCGCUGCAUUAGCUAGUUGGUAAGGUAACGGCUUACCAAGGCAACGAUGCAUAGCCGACCUGAGAGGUUGAUCGGCCACACUGGAACUGAGACACGGUCCAGACUCCUACGGGAGGCAGCAGUAGGGAAUCUUCCGCAAUGGGCGAAAGCCUGACGGAGCAACGCCGCGUGAGUGAUGAAGGUCUUCGGAUCGUAAAACUCUGUUAUUAGGGAAGAACAUAUGUGUAAGUAACUGUGCACAUCUUGACGGUACCUAAUCAGAAAGCCACGGCUAACUACGUG
rnacentral:rRNA from 1 species